rnacentral:rRNA from 1 species
UACGGGGGGAGCAAGCGUUGUUCGGAUUUACUGGGCGUAAAGGGCGCGUAGGCGGUCAGCACAAGUCAGUUGUGAAAUCUCCGGGCUUAACUCGGAAAGGUCAACUGAUACUGUGCGACUAGAGUGCAGAAGGGGCAACUGGAAUUCUCGGUGUAGCGGUGAAAUGCGUAGAUAUCGAGAGGAACACCUGCGGCGAAAGCGGCUUCCUGGUCCAGCACCGACGUCAGGCACGAAAGCGUGGGGAGCAAACAGG